UGGGCAACGCCUUGAUUGCAGCCUUAUGAGAUCUUAUAUUGGAAUUAACUUCUGGGCAAGCCCAAAUUUUAUUCAUUUCCUGGGGCUACUGUAAUAAAUUACACAACCUGGGUGGUUUGAAACAAUAGAAAUAGGUUAUUUUACAGGAAAUCCUUCAUUUGAGUGCUCGCUUUCCUUGCGACUCCGAGCUCUUGUUUCUAACAUAACUCUGGUGGUUUAAUGUGCCUGUUACUCACAUUUUAUAAAUAAGUGGGGAUUUAUAUUGAGAUUUAUACUCAUAUGCAGAAAAUAGUUCUUUUUCCCCUGUAGGUGGUUACUUCGGCAAGAGACACACUAUUUUUUGUUUGAGAGAGAAAGUAUAUGUGUGUGAGAGUAUAUAUGAGAACAUUACAUGUAUUUGAGAGUACAGUUGUGCAUAAUGAUGUUUCAAUCAACAAUGAGUCAAAUAUGCAAUGAUGGUCUUGUGGGAUUAUAAUGGAGCUGAAAAAUUCCUAUCACCUAGAGAUGUCAUAGCCAUCGUUAUAUUGUAGCACAACAUGUUACUCAUGCGUUUGUGAUGAUGCUGGUGUAAACAAACCUACUGUACUGCCAUCAUAAAAAAAUCUAGCACAUAUCAUUAUUUAUUAUAUGU
rnacentral:lncRNA from 1 species